UCUUGGACAAUGGGGGAAACCCUGAUCCAGCCAUGCCGCGUGAGUGAUGAAGGCCUUAGGGUUGUAAAGCUCUUUCGCACGCGACGAUAAUGACGGUAGCGUGAGAAGAAGCCCCGGCUAACUUCGUGCCAGCAGCCGCGGUAAUACGAAGGGGGCUAGCGUUGUUCGGAAUUACUGGGCGUAAAGCGCGCGCAGGCGGGUCAUCAAGUCAGAGGUGAAAGCCCGGAGCUUAACUCCGGAAUAGCCUUUGAAACUGUUGAUCUUGAGUACGGGAGAGGUGAGUGGAAUUCCCAGUGUAGAGGUGAAAUUCGUAGAUAUUGGGAAGAACACCAGUGGCGAAGGCGGCUCACUGGCCCGUUACUGACGCUCAGGCGCGAUAGCGUGGGGAUCAAACAG
rnacentral:rRNA from 1 species